AUUGAACGCUGGCGGAAUGCUUUACACAUGCAAGUCGAGCGGCAGCGCGGGGGCAACCCUGGCGGCGAGCGGCGAACGGGUGAGUAACGCAUCGGAACGUACCUUGUAGUGGGGGGAUAACUAUCCGAAAGGAUAGCUAAUACCGCAUACGCCCUGAGGGGGAAAGGGGGGGAUCGCAAGACCUCUCGCUACAGGAGCGGCCGAUGUCCGAUUAGCUAGUUGGUGAGGUAAAGGCUCACCAAGGCGACGAUCGGUAGCUGGUCUGAGAGGAUGAUCAGCCACACUGGGACUGAGACACGGCCCCAGACUCCUACGGGAGGCAGCAGUGGGGAAUUUGGACAAUGGGGGCAACCCUGAUCCAGCCAUUCCACGUGAGUGAAGAAGGCCUC
rnacentral:rRNA from 1 species